rnacentral:misc_RNA from 1 species
UUUUUGGCGGAAAAUGUCUGAGGAUAACGAAGAUGAAAACUUGCCAAGUGCUGCUGAGUGUGAAAAAAGAUGUCAGUGUUUUGCAGACAUCACAGGGACUGACACGGCUCUUGCGAUGUUUUAUUUACAGGACAGAAACUGGAAUGUCGAGAUUGCCGUAAAUGCAUUCUUUGAAGAGUCAAACCAAGUUGCCACAACUCAGAACCAAGGGACAAAAAGAGGGCUAUCAGAGUCUGCCAACCCCGAAGCAUCACCCAAGCAAAUUAAAUUGUAAAUCUGUAUACAAAUUGUUUCUUAGUUAAUAUUGUCAUUAUUUCUAAUCAAAGAGUUUACAUCUGGUAAAGACAUUACAGUUAGCUGUUGAUUCUAUUUGGCAUUUUUGGAACACAGCUUACUUUAAAUGUCAGAUCAGGAGUACAGAAUAUUGGUAUUUUCUUAGUGCUAGUAAAUUGUCAGACAUUGCUGAGUGCUUAAAUGUGCUUAACCAUGUUGUGUAUAUUUUGUUGCAGGGCAGAUGAUGAUCUAGAACCUCACAGGAUUCGACUACUCAGCUGGAACAUUGACGGGCUGGACAUGCCAAGUGCCGAGAAGAGGACCAAGGAAAUCUGCAAUAUCAUCAAAAAAGAAAACCCACAGGCAGUGUUACUUCAAGAGGUGACCCCGGUGACCUUGCCUAUCCUCCAGCAGAAUUGUACUGGAUACAGGGUGAUUUCAGGCGGGUCCACUGAGUAUUUCACAGCAAUCAUGUUAAAAGAUGGGCAGGUCAUGUUUAAAGGGAAGGAAAUACAGCCAUUUGAGAAUACAGUGAUGAUGAGAAACUUGUUGAGCGUUCAGUGUCAAAUAAAGGGAAAGCCAUUUACAGUGAUGACCUCACAUCUGGAGAGCACCAAGGACUUUGGAGAUGAGAGGAAGAGGCAGCUUAAACAAUGUUUUGAAGCAGUCAAGGCAGAACCUGCCAGUCAAAAUGUGAUCUUUGGUGGGGACUUAAAUCUUAGGGACAAGGAGCUCUCUGCCAUAGGAGGAAUACCAGGGGGCAUGUGUGAUGUUUGGGAGGCCACAGGAUCCAGAAAGGAGUGUUUAUAUACCUGGGACAUGAUGAGAAAUACCAACUUAGUGUUUGACAAAUUCAAGCCUCGGUGCCGCUUUGACCGACUUUAUCUGAGAGAUUCAAAUCCGGGCACCAUCAAACCAGUGUACUUUGAGCUGAUUGGAUUAGAGAAAGUCAAGUCUUGCGGAAGAUUUCCAAGUGAUCACUGGGGACUGUUGACUCAUUAUGACAUCAUUAAAAUCUAAACUAAA